rnacentral:rRNA from 1 species
AUGCGCCAGCUAAGGCUCGUCACCAACAUGAGGGCUCAUAAUGACACCUGGUUUGCGGAUUACUUGCUAAGGGUAGGCAAUGGUACCGAGGAAGUUGACGAUCAAGGAAACAUACGACUCCCUGAAGAUAUUUGUGUGUCGUCUACAGGCGAGGGUGACGACCUGGAGAAGCUGAUUGACCGUGUGUUUCCGAGACUAGAUGACAACAUGUCUGAUCCGAAUUACAUGACUUCACGCGCAAUCCUCUCCACCACGAACGACAACGUCGACAAGAUAAACAUACACAUGGUAGAGCGUUUUCGGGGGGAAGAAGUAAUCUACCAUAGCUUUGACAGUGCAGAAGACGACCCAUAUGGCUACUAUGCUCCUGAGUUCCUAAAUGGACUGACUCCCAACGGUCUGCCUCCGCAUGCACUCAAACUGAAGCUCAACUGCCCUGCCAUACUUCUGAGGAACAUUGAUUCGGCUAAUGGUCUGUGUAAUGGGACGAGGCUUGUGGUGCGAGGUUUCGAGAGGAACGCCAUCGACGCAGAAAUCGUGAUCGGACAACACGCAGGUAGGAGGGUAUUCCUUCCUCGAAUACCCCUAUGCCCGUCUGACAACGACAUGUUUCCAUUCAAGUUCAAGAAGCAAUUUCCUGUAAGGCUUAGCUUUGCUAUGACGAUUAACAAGGCUCAAGGACAGACGAUUCCGAUUAUUGGCGUGUACCUACCUAAUCCGGUGGUUUAUCAUGGUCAACUCUAUGUCGCAUUGUCUUGAGCCACCGCGAAGAGAAAUAUAAAGAUCCUCAUUGAGAAGGAGAAGGAUAGGGAGAAUGGCAAGAAGCAAAGCAGUAAAUCAAAGAAGCGAAAAUGACAAACCUCGAUGAAGAACAUCGUCUAUAAGGAAGUCCUUACAGGCUGA